GCAUCUCGAGGACGACCAUGAAUCUACCUGCCAACAGGUGGUACUGGUUUGCACUGGUUUGCAUGAACUGAACAUGGUGGACAUGAGGCAAAUUCCCUGCUGUUUGCCCCAGACCAGGACUCUGUGAGGGGUGGUGAUGGAGCCGUGCUGAGGACCUGCUGGUGAAGGACGUCCCUCGUGGGGGGGCAAGGACAGCCGACCCUGAGGAUCCGCUCGGAUCUACGAUCGCUACGAUGCGACUGCAGAGGUCUCUGGAAGACCAGGAGUCCUUGCCUGAGGAGAGCUGAUGGAGGAGCCGUGCACCUGGAGAACCAUGAGUCUGCCUGCCAACAAGU